rnacentral:misc_RNA from 1 species
GAUGAAGAACGCAGCGAAAUGCGAUACGUAAUGUGAAUUGCAGAAUUCAGUGAAUCAUCGAAUCUUUGAACGCACAUUGCGCCCGCCAGCACUCUGGCGGGCAUGCCUGUUCGAGCGUCAUUUCAACCAUCAAGCCCCAGGCUUGCGUUGGAGCCCUGCGGCUGCCGCAGCCUCCUAAAAGCAGUGGCGGGCUCGCUAUCACACCGAGUGCAGUAGAUUACUCUUCGCUCAGGGCGUGCAGCGGGUUCCGGCCGCGAAACCCCCUACUUUUAAAGGUUGACCUCGGAUCAGGUAGGAAUACCCGCUGAACUUAAGCAUAUCAAUAAGCGGAGGA